rnacentral:rRNA from 1 species
UACAGAGGUCUCAACCGUUGUUCAGAUUCAUUGGGCGUAAAGGGUGCGUAGGCGGUCGCGCAAGUCGGAUGUGAAAUCUCAGGGCUCAACCCUGAAACUGCAUUCGAUACUGCGUGGCUAGAGUGCUGGAGAGGAGACUGGAAUUUACGGUGUAGCAGUGAAAUGCGUAGAUAUCGUAAGGAAGACCAGUGGCGAAGGCGAAUCUCUGGACAGUUACUGACACUGAGGCACGAAGGCCAGGGGAGCAAACAGG